UUUGUGUUGAUAUUUUUGUUAUGAAAUGCAAUGGUAGGAAAGGGGAAGGCCUUUAAUAACACUAGAGUGAAGCAUAGAGUGAAGCGGUCGAUUAAGGUGCCCACGAUUAGUAACAAGCUAGCAGAUAUGAUGAUUAUUCAUGGAGGAAAUAUGGCCAAAAGCCAAUCAAGGGUUCUCCACACCCAAGAUAAUUGAAGUGAUAUCGGGUUGAAAGCUAAGCGAUUGUGCAGAAAUGGCCAAGCGACUGUUGAAAAUUGAAGACUGAGAAGGCAUUUAGGAUUUUUAAUUAUUUAAUUCUUGUAUUAGAAUCUUUUUUCAUGUACUAUUGUAGAAUGUAUAUAUAAACAUAAUAUUAAUAUUUUA